UACAGAGGAUGCAAGCGUUAUCCGGAAUGAUUGGGCGUAAAGCGUCUGUAGGUGGCUUUUUAAGUCCGCCGUCAAAUCCCAGGGCUCAACUCUGGACAGGCGGUGGAAACUACCAAGCUCGAGUACGGUAGGGGCAGAGGGAAUUUUUGGUGGAGCGGUGAAAUGCGUAGAGAUCGGAAAGAACACCAACGGCGAAAGCACUCUGCUGGGCCGACACUGACACUGAGAGACGAAAGCUAGGGGAGCGAAUGGG
rnacentral:rRNA from 1 species